AGAGGGAUCUAGGAGUACAGGUGCAUUGAAGAUCCUUGAAGAUCGAAUCGCAGAUACACAAAGUGAU